CAUUUUUGUGCUUCAAAUUAAACUUCUUUCAGUUAGUUGCCAAGGCAACAUUUCUAUUUUUAUUUAGUUUUAGUUCUUAAUC